ACAAUCAUCGCCUUGGAAGCUUCAUCACGAUGCUAGUUUGCAUUUCUGAAGAGGGAAGAAGAAAUCAAUAUGCAAAUUCAAUUCCAUGGUUUUGGAAGUCCCAUUGAGAACACGAUUCAUUUGCGCCGGCAUAAUGCUCUGACCGAGAAAGAAUUGAAGAACCUACCCCGGAAGAGAGAGCCCAGAGAAUUGCCAAAGCUGUCCGCAAACAGUCAACAGAAGUGAAGGAAAAUUGGGAGCAAUUGAAAACCCGUGCAAGCAACUGGCAGAAACAGGUGGAAAAGGCGUUGGAGAAACUUCAAGAACUGCAGAAAGCUCUGGAUGAUCUUGAGGCUCAUGUGAUAACAGCUGAGGGGGUCCACACUGAUUGGCAACCUGUGGGUGACCUGCUUAUUGACUCAUUGCAGGAUCACAUUGAUAAAACCACAGGUAAGGACUAUCUGCAAAAUCUGAGAUUGGGUUUUGAAAGACAGCAGCCUUUGUUUUGGAGAGAUAAUGGGAACUGCAGAUGCUGGAGAAUGCGAGAUAACACCGUGUGGAACUGGACGAAGACAGCAGGCCAAGCAUCAUCUUAGGAGCACAAAAGCUGAUGUUUCGGGCCGAGAACCACCUUCAGAAAAUGGGGAGGGGGUGCGGGUUCUGGAUUAAAUAGGGAGAGAGGGGGAGGCGGAUGGAAGAUGGAUGGAGGAGAAGGUAGGUGGAGAGGAGAGUAUGGGUAGGGAGGCAGGGAGGGGAUAGGUCAGUCUGGGGAGGCGGGACAGGUCAAGGGAGCGGGA